rnacentral:misc_RNA from 1 species
AAGAGACGUUGCCCUUCGGGGUAUACCUCCCACCCAUUGUUUAUUUAUACCUUUGUUGCUUUGGCAGUCCCAGCUUCGGCUGAGCCGGCUUCGGCUGGCUAGUGGCUGCCAGAGAACCCAAAACUCUGUUUGUUAAUAUUGUCUGAGUACUAUAUAAUAGUUA